rnacentral:rRNA from 1 species
GUGGCCUAAUACAUAGCAAGUCGAACGGCUUUUCUAUGGAAGCUUGCUUCCACUGAGAAGAUAGUGGCGGACGGGUGAGUAACACUGGGUAACCUGCCCAUAAGAGGGGGGAUAACAUCCGGAAACGGGUGCUAAUACCGCAUAGUUUUCUUGAUCGCAUGAUCGGGAAAGGAAAGACGGCCUUUGUGCUGUCGCUUAUGGAUGGACCCGCGGCGUAUUAGUUAGUUGGUGAGGUAAUGGCUCACCAAGACGAUGAUACGUAGCCGACCUGAGAGGGUGAUCGGCCACAUUGGGACUGAGACACGGCCCAAACUCCUACGGGAGGCAGCAGUAGGGAAUCUUCCGCAAUGGACGAAAGUCUGACGGAGCAACGCCGCGUGAGUGAAGAAAAGGUUUUCGGAUCGUAAAACUCUGUUGUCAGAGAAGAACAAGUUGGAGAGUAACUGCUCCAGCCUUGACGGUAUCUGACCAGAAAGCCACGGCUAACUACGUGCCAGCCGCCGC